AUACUUACCUGGAAGGGAGAUACCAUGAUCAUAAAGGUGAUUUUCCCAAGGUGAGGCUUAUCCAUUGCGCUCUGGAUGUGCUGACCCCUGUGACACCCAACCCCCAAGAGAAAAAAAAAAGGGGGACUGCAUUCUCACUCUCCCCUG
rnacentral:snRNA from 1 species